rnacentral:rRNA from 1 species
CCUACGGGUUGCACCAGUAGGGAAUCUUCCACAAUGGGCGAAAGCCUGAUGGAGCAACGCCGCGUGUGUGAUGAAGGGUUUCGGCUCGUAAAACACUGUUGUAAGAGAAGAAUGACAUUGAGAGUGACUGUUCAAUGUGUGACGGUAUCUUACCAGAAAGGAACGGCUAAAUACGUGCCAGCAGCCGCGGUAAUACGUAUGUUCCAAGCGUUAUCCGGAUUUAUUGGGCGUAAAGCGAGCGCAGACGGUUAUUUAAGUCUGAAGUGAAAGCCCUCAGCUCAACUGAGGAAUUGCUUUGGAAACUGGAUGACUUGAGUGCAGUAGAGGAAAGUGGAACUCCAUGUGUAGCGGUGAAAUGCGUAGAUAUAUGGAAGAACACCAGUGGCGAAGGCGGCUUUCUGGACUGUAACUGACGUUGAGGCUCGAAAGUGUGGGUAGCAAACAGGAUUAGAUACCCGUGUAGUC